UAAAAACUCCUUUGCGAAGUACACGUGACCAUGAAGACAGGCUGCAUAGCUAAAGAGUUAGGAUCUGGUGUGGUCUGACAGAGAACACAGGGGCCAGCAGGCGAGACGUGGAACAGAUGUGAUGUAGACCCCAAUGGAGUAAGAAUUCUGGACUUUUUCUCUGAAUAUGUCUGCUGUGUAUAUUAAACUGACUAAACACUCAGAUGGAGGAGCAGAAACCAGGCCCCGGAGAGGCUUUUACAGAGAAGCGAAGAGGGGCAGAAACGGGGCCAGUCCUGAAAAUACACUCAGAUUCUGAUUGAAGCACCAGAUCCAGUCCCACAGAGGCUUCUUAGGAACACUCAAACUGUUGAAAAUAAAGUGGAAAAAAAAGGCGCGAUUACA